rnacentral:rRNA from 1 species
UGGGGAAUAUUGGACAAUGGGGGGAACCCUGAUCCAGCCAUGCCGCGUGUGUGAAGAAGGCCUUAUGGUUGUAAAGCACUUUAAGCGAGGAGGAGGGUACUGGUAUUAAUACUACCAGGUACUGGACGUUACUCGCAGAAUAAGCACCGGCUAACUCUGUGCCAGCAGCCGCGGUAAUACAGAGGGUGCAAGCGUUAAUCGGAAUUACUGGGCGUAAAGCGCGCGUAGGUGGUUCGUUAAGUUGAAUGUGAAAGCCCCGGGCUCAACCUGGGAACUGCAUCCAAAACUGGCGAGCUAGAGUAGGGCAGAGGGUGGUGGAAUUUCCUGUGUAGCGGUGAAAUGCGUAGAUAUAGGAAGGAACACCAGUGGCGAAGGCGACCACCUGGGCUCAUACUGACACUGAGGUGCGAAAGCGUGAGGAGCAAACAGG